GUCACUCUCAUACCUCAGAGCUUCUAGAACAAAGAAUUUAUUCCAGUGGAAAGUAACACAUAGAUCAUGCUGACCAAAUUAAGCUAUUGUUAACUAUAAUCAGUUGCGCAGCAAGAAUUGAAGAUAGUGUGAUGAUCUACUAAGGGAAGGAGUACAGUAAUGUCCCAGAAAAACAACUUGAUGCCAGAGAAAUGGAAGAAACAUUAGAAUAUAUUGAAAAUACAGCAGCCUCCAACUGAAGCCUCUCAAGUACGUCUGUUGGAAAAAUUAAAAAAUCACCAUGAAAGUAAGAAGAACAACUAAUCCAGGCAGAACUCAACUGAUAAGAAACAAGCAAGAAGCCCUGCUCCUGUGAUCCCAAGGCCCUGAACUUGUGCAAAGCCUGCAGUAAAUACUGACAGAAGCCUAGACCCAUUGAUCUCAUCAGUUGUCAAAAUUCACAUGUUCCCCAGCUCAUCCCACUUAAGAAGAAUAACUGGACACAAGGCUAGGGGAACUGGCAUUAAGACAAACGAAACUGCAAUGAAACUGUUACAAGAUUCUCUGUAUCUUGGCUGAUUUAAGAUUCCAGGAAACGUCGGUUUGUGGGUGGAGUUGCUUCCUCUUGAUUAAUUGAGUAUCAAUGACCGGAGGGGUUCGACUCUCUCUAGCACGAUUUUAAUAGAAGAGCUGGAGCAGUAGUCGUUGCCCUCGUCCCAUAUCGUUCACGACUCUAGCGCGAGCCUCCCAUGACGUCGCCCGAUUUGCCCGCGCCCGGUGACCAGCCGCCCGCAUCUAGAACUCGAAAGGACAACAACCGUUGACAGAAUAACAAUUGCUUAUCUUUUUCGCUAUUAAGUUAGGAGGCGGGCUCCCAGCAACCGUUACUUCCCAUGUGUGACGCACGCCGCACCUUCAUUGGGGCAGCGUUCGAAAGGCUCGGCUGCGAUUGGAGAAAGCAGAAUGGAGAGGCGGGCUUUGGGCGGAGAAUGUUGUGGCAAG